rnacentral:rRNA from 1 species
UACGUAGGGUGCGAGCGUUAAUCGGAAUUACUGGGCGUAAAGCGUGCGCAGGCGGUUUCGUAAGACAGACGUGAAAUCCCCGGGCUCAACCUGGGAACUGCGUUUGUGACUGCGAGGCUAGAGUACGGCAGAGGGGGGUAGAAUUCCACGUGUAGCAGUGAAAUGCGUAGAGAUGUGGAGGAAUACCGAUGGCGAAGGCAGCCCCCUGGGUUAGUACUGACGCUCAUGCACGAAAGCGUGGGGAGCAAACAGGAUUAGAUACCCCCGUAGUCC